rnacentral:tRNA from 1 species
GGCUCUGUGGUGCAACGGACAGCGCAUUGGACUUCUAGGUUCAAGUUUGGAGCUAUUCAAAGGUUGUGGGUUCAAGUCCCUCCAGAGUCA